rnacentral:misc_RNA from 1 species
AAAGGGCAGCAAACUCGCGAGAGCUAGCAAAUCCCAUAAACCGUGGCUCAGUUCAGAUCGUAGGCUGCAACUCGCNUACGUGAAGUAGGAAUCGCUAGUAAUCGCAGGUCAGCAUACUGCGGUGAAUACGUUCCCGGGCCUUGUACACACCGCCCGUCACACCAUGGAAGUUGGCCAUGCCCGAAGUCGUUACUCCAACCCUUGUGGAGGAGGACGCCGAAGGUGGGGCUAAUGACUGGGGUGAAGUCGUAACAAGGUAGCCGUACCGGAAGGUGCGGCUGGAUCACCUCCUAACAGGGAGACAACAAAAUGUUUAAUAUUAUUAUUUUGUCACCUUAGGUCGAUCGGUAUCUCACGUUCUUAAUUUGUUAAGAAUUUCAUUUCCUAAGUUUUUCUAGGUCACACCCAUUAUUUUUCCUGGGCCAUUAGCUCAGGUGGUUAGAGCGCACCCCUGAUAAGGGUGAGGUCCCUGGUUCAAGUCCAGGAUGGCCCAUAUCUCUAUGUUGGGGGUAUAGCUCAGUUGGUAGAGCGCCUGCUUUGCAAGCAGGAUGUCAGCGGUUCGAGUCCGCUUACCUCCACUGAUUACCACCUCUUCCAUAACCGGUAGAAAGGAAAUGUUUUGAGAUGUGAUCAUUAUUCUGAACGAAUCUAGCUUCCUAAUGAAAUCAUUAAGAUGCUGGAUUCAUUGAAUUAAUUUCAUUGUUUUCAGAGAACCUUGACAACUGCAUAGAUUAUUUUUAAAGACAAUAAGCAUCUUUAAUGAUGCAGAUUUAUUAUUUGUGCGAAUGCAUUAAUAACAAUUCUAUUAAGCUGAUGCUUCAAUUUAUGAAGUUAUUGGUCAAGCUACAAAGGGCUCACGGAGGAGACCUAGGCACACAGAGGCGAUGAAGGACGUGGUUACCUGCGAUAAGUCUCGGGGAGUG